GCGGAGGCUGCGGCGUGGCCAGAGGUGAGGCCCUCGGGUCGGAGGUUAGCCGAAAAGGCAGAAAAAAGGCCAGCGGGGUGUUGAAACCGAGCAACCGUGUAGAAACGGGCUACACAAACAGCUUCCUGUGACGGCGUCUGCGCCCCUGACCCUCAGCCCUUUGUCCCGACCGCGGUGUAAAGAACGAGCGCUGGGCAGGGAAUCGGGCGUGCAGCUUGGCGCUCAGCAGGGCCGGACAGGUCAUCUUCCAGAGUCUCACUAUGUAGCCAGCCUGGCCUUACUCACAGCCAUCGUCCUGCCUCAGCCUCCUAAGUGCUGCAAUUAUGGGCAUGUGUCACCACACCCAGGAAAACUGCCAACUUCAUGAGAAUGAGAAGUUGUUGGACAAACACAGCUUAUCAAAGGAAUAAAGUAGAGUCAGUGAUAUGCUGUAUGAAGAUGCAAAGGGAAGUUUCAUAUUUUCAGUGGAGGAAUAAUUUGUUCACAUGAAUCAGCAGAGGCUAGUGCUCCUCAAGUGUGGCCUCUGCAUUUGUUUCCACUGGAGAAAUCAAGAAGCUUCUAUAGCGGAGCGUGUUGGUGCACGCCUGCAAUCCCAGCACUGAGGGGCCUGAAGAAGGAUGAUUGCCACAAGUUCCAGGCCAGCCUGGGCUCUGCAGGGAGCUCAAGGCAAGCCUGGAGUACAUAAUAAGAUCCUAUCCCAAAUAAACAAAAAGAAGCUUUUGUGGAAAUUCAGCAGAGUAAUUUUGGAUCUUUUCAAUCUGCUAAAAUUUUAUAUGACACUCAAAAUUUUCGCUCUUCUAACAUUUUGUUGUAUUGUACAAAAUUAAUCAUUUACAACAGUUUGCAAAUAAAGCAAAACUGGC